rnacentral:tRNA from 1 species
AUUAGGAUGACUGAAAAAGUAAUAAACUGUAAAUUUAUCCAUGAAUAUAUAAUAUAUUCUCCUGAUA